GUUUUAAUAAUUUAAAUAAAAUAUUGAUUUUGUAAAUCAAAAAUAAGACAUAACCUUUUAAAACU
rnacentral:tRNA from 1 species